GUAGGUGGCAAGCGUUGUCCGGAAUUAUUGGGCGUAAAGCGCGCGCAGGCGGUUCUUUAAGUCUGAUGUGAAAGCCCACGGCUCAACCGUGGAGGGUCAUUGGAAACUGGGGAACUUGAGUACAGAAGAGGAAAGCGGAAUUCCACGUGUAGCGGUGAAAUGCGUAGAGAUGUGGAGGAACACCAGUGGCGAAGGCGGCUUUCUGGUCUGUAGCUGACGCUGAGGCGCGAAAGCGUGGGGAGCAAACAGGGGGUUAGAUACCCUGGUAGUCCACGCCGUAAACGAUGAGUGCUAAGUGUUAGGGGGUUUCCCGCCCCCUUAGUGCUGCAGCUAACGCAUUAAGCACUCCGCCUGGGGAGUACGGCCGCAAGGCUG
rnacentral:rRNA from 1 species